rnacentral:tRNA from 1 species
GCGAGUAUCGUAUAAAGGUAAUACCUGAGAUUUCCAAUCUCAUGAUGGGGGUUCGAUUCCUCUUACUCGCUCCA